CCAGCCCAGCCCAGCAGAGUCAGAACCUGCACUUUAACAUGGUCCCUAGGUGAUUUGUGGGCCGGUUAACAUUUGAAGUGCCCUGGUCCAGCGCAUUAGAUGUGCACUCCUGUCUCCUGGUAGGUGCCUUGAGGUCAGGGGCCCCACUUCUUAAGACCCAGAGCGCUACCAGUACUUUAUUUAGUAUACAUAUCUAAUCAAUUUGGUUAACUGCUGCCCCCCAGCCACUCCUCACAACUUAGCCAUCAAUAGCAGAGAGAAUGCAGGCAUUUCUGCAGCCAGAAGCAGUGUAUGAAUGAAUGAAUGCAUGAAUGAAUUGCCUUAACAUUCUUACAAAGCACCCACCAUUCCCCAAACAAGAUGCCAAAGCUACAGGAAUGCAGAGAUGAUUCAGACAAGGAUUCUUUAGGGAAGUCACAGUCUCCUAGGGGAAACAGGCAUGAACAUGUCAUCACAAUACAGUGGAUGAGUGAAGUGAUAGCGCUAUGCCGGGCACUCCUGGGAGUGAAUGUUAGUUAAUCCAGGAUAGGGGAAGUUAGGGAGGGCUUCCUGGAGGAGGAGACUCUCCUCGCUGAGUUUAAGACGAUGAGCAGGAUUUGGACAAAGAGGAGAAGGAAGAGAAUUCCAGGCAAUGGACACAGCACAAAGAGAGAAGGUUCAUUCUGAAAGAAAGAGGAGGUCAAAAGUUCGUCACAAGCUCAGAUGAUGCGACCUUCAACCUGGGAGCCCACGGCAACGGAAAACAACUCACAACUUUGCUACAUCGAAGUUGAACCAGAUUGGUCUGGUGCAGUUGCAGCAGGAAUCUCGAUUCUAAACCCAUACCCACUACAAUUGGCUCAGGGCUAUGCACAUGACCAAGUUCAGAUCAAAGAGAGUCCCAUAGCAACAGCUACAGAAUCACAUUUUGAAGCAUUAGGACUCAGACAGGCACCAAAUUUUAAGUCUUCGGUGUAAAUCCAAGGUAGGUGAGGGCCAGGGAAUGGAUGUUGGCCUUGUCUGGUGAAGGACUGUGGGUGAUCGCGUCUUGG